rnacentral:lncRNA from 1 species
AGCAAUAGAAUUGGCAGGUAAUGUUAUUUACGAGGACCAAGAAAUGAUUUUCUCGUUUUGUGAUUUUAAUUGAUAUGUGACCUAUAUGUUUUGUGAGAAAUUAUUUGAAAUUGAUGAACUAUGAACAAUGUUUCUUCGAAUCCUUCGAUUCUCUUUGCAUCUUUCUCGUACUCUAUCAAUAUAAGCUUAAAGGUUUAUAGCAUCUGAAAUAAGGGUGGUGUACGAGCAUUUUCUAAAUGUUUGGUCCCCAUUGCAAUCUUUAUGGGCUCGAGAAGCUUGACUGCUGAACCCAUUAGUAAAGAGAAAUAAAUGGGAUAUACAAGACAGCUGACUCCUUUACUGCAUUCCAGUAACGAGGGCUGUCCUGAUGCUAUUCCAAAUAGUCCCAUGAACGAUAACUUUGAGAGAGAGAGAAAAUAAAGUGAAGAAAAUGGAGAACUUCCUCAUUUCUAAAGCUGUGACUACUGUUUUCUCGCACAUGGACUCCAGACAUUGAUAUGUAAGUAAAAGUUUGAAAGAGUGGGAAUAUUUGUACAAUAAAUCAGCAAAACGGUACACCUUUUGAUUCUAGGAUAUGAGUUUUUGGAUCAAUUUUUAAGCUUUAGGCUGGUUGAAACCCUUGAGCUCUUCUAUUUUAGCCAAAGAUGAUGUAUUUGCAAAUUAUACUUCUUCCGGGACACGAUAUUCAGUGAAAGUUUAUCUCUUGUUGAUUUGGUAUAUAGCUCCAACAUUUGAUGUGCACGCAGAUGUUUCCAUCUUCAUUCAAUUUCUUGAUCCUUCUCGACUUGUUGUUUUCCUGAAGUGCUUAUCUUAUAUUUGUCUACUGUUACGUUCUUUAAGAGAUGAGGAUUUCUUCGAGCAAACAAACUAAUUAUGUGAUGCACUGAUACUGAAUUUAUGCUUGGGUUGUACGUUGGGACUAAUUAUUGAAUUUAAUUGCUUUUGAGUUUAGUACUUGAUGUGUUCUUGGUUUUGUGAUUUUUGAAAGUUUUGGAUAAUAGGGAUAAAAUUUUGGCAGAUAAUUAAUAUAAGAUCACCAUGUUGUAUGUGAAACUUUUUGAGGUUUGCUCGCUAUGGUGACCAGAUGGUUUUUGGUAUUAAUGUUCUUUGGAAUACAUGAACAUGGUCUGUCAGUCUCAACCUAUGAGCUGCGAUGGUAAAGUGGGUGAAUAAUGGGCUGAGAGGCACUACUGCGCUAUUUUAUAUGUGUUUGAAAACAAAUAAACCAGCGAACGGGAUUAUACUUUUGCUUUAAAGUCUCUCACUAUGAUAUUGGAUCUAUGAUGCAGAACAGUUAAAGGAAUACUGUUAUAAAGCCUUUGACGAGGGAUUUUGUGUUGGCAUUGAUGUGGGCUAAGUAGACAAUGAGUUUGUCUAUGGGUUAUAGAGACCUUGGGGAUGAUUUGCCCGAGAAAGGAUGCAAUAUAUGGUCCUUUU